UGCAUGUCCAAAGAGGAGGAAGAAAACUGGAUUAAAAAGAAGAGUGGGAGAAACAUGAUGGCCAUCAAAGGGAAUUUGUGGUUGGCUGGGAGCUUUAGGGAUGUCUCAGCAGUGGAGUGAUGAUGUGAGCCAGGGGAGCCGGUGGAGCAGAAACCUCUGCGAGAACAAUGGACCCAACCAGCCCCUGUGCCACCACAUGCACCGAAGAAGGUGGCAGCCCUCAGCCAGAGGCACCACCUCAAGAUUGCGUGAUGGAAACAGCCUGGGGCACAAUAUUGCCACAGUUAUCACCACAAUAACACACAAGAGAUUUGAGAGAUCCCUCUGCUGGCCCCUCUGCUGCCAGAACCCUACCAGCCGUGAUAGCUGGUUCCUGGAGGCAGUAUCCAGGGAUAAGCGGGGCUGUGUGCCCAUCCAGGCACUUGGAAUACAUUCAGUGGCCCUGUUACACUGGCAAGUCUUCAAAGGGCCCCGGGAGGAAGGCUAUUAGGGAAGAAGAAUCCCUGGGAAGUUUAUUUUGUAGAGUGUGGCUAAAAGCAGGGGUGUACAGAGACCCCAGGGCACAGAAGGGAAAUUGCCCUGCCGCUUCGACACAGCUCCAGGCACAGCUCCAGCACACGCACAGCCCUUCCAGGCAGGCAGGCACCUCUUCCUGAGGAAGGUGCAUUUUCCUCUUCCCUUGAUAUUUGUGUGCCACAAGCUCCCCUUUCCUGCUUGACCCCUAGGGCAGCCUCAGCAAGGCUGGUACAGGAGACCUGUGCUCUUCUACUACAUGGGAUUAACUACAAGGAUCUUCUGCACAAACAUGGAAGAGGAAGAUCUCACCCUCCUUCCUCCAGGAUUCCCCUAGAAGAGGGAUUUCCCCAUGGGCCCCUGUGCCACGUAAAUCCCUGUUUCCUAUCCCAUGGCUGUGAAUUUGGUAGGAAGGAGAAAUUACAGGUAUUGAUCAUCCAGAGACAUUGAGGUUAUCAUCGCGGACUUCUAUCGCUUUACAAACGAGACGCCUAUGCCAGAGUCACGGAGAAGAAAGUGAAUUUAUUUACAACAAGAUUCCCCCUUGCACACGCUCCUCCUCCUCCCCCGCUGGAGACCAAGUCUGCAAACCCCGGCUCGCUGCCGCACAGGAACAAGAGAGGCCAGCACGCCUCGGCGGCACCAUGCUGGCGCUCAGGCGGCGUCUCUGGAAACCCCGUCUUCCUCCGGUCUGGGGAAGGGCUAUCUGUACACGGCCUUUUCUCUCUUAACAGAUUUUAUGAAGGACUAAUAGUGUAAGUCAGAGCAGACACUGUUUGAAGAACAGCCUACAGAGCACGAAGGUGGGAAACACUUGGGAAAAGCACAUUGGGUUACACCAGGGACGGCCCCGCAGAGAUGGUGCCGUCUUGCCAUUUUGCAGCUGGAAGCAGAUGAUGAGAGACACGUCGUGUUUUUAAGAACACACAAAAAAAUAUACAUGGACAAUUCCAGUCGUGGGUACAUCAAUUACAGAAGGCUUGGAGAUACAAACAUAUAUAUAUACUUAUGGAAUAUCAUAGAAGUAUAAUUCACGAGUAGUGUCUAGCCUUACUUUUCACAUCAUUUGUAUAUUUUGAUCGCUCCAGGAUGGAGCUUCUAAGAAAUAAUUGUGUGAGGACUUCCACAGAGAACAAUUUUAGGGCUCAAAAUGGUUAAAAUGUCUCCAACCAAAGUAGUUUAUUCUGUUCUCUUUUGUUUACACAUCUACAACACAUAUAUCCAAAUUUGCUUGGGUAAAAAUGAAAUUUAAUAAAAGAUACACUUUUUCAGCAUAGUACAACAUCAUUAAAAUUGCACAGAGGGGAAAAUAAAACUCUAAGUGAUAUUUUGAAUUAUUACUGUCCAGCCAAACACAAAUAUCUGAAGACAGAGAAGAAAGAAAGAAAGAAA